CCUCGACCCCAGUCAACAACUGUAUACUGUUUUCGAAAUGGGCAAAAAUUACUUUUGUGUUGCAUACGGCUGCAACCACCACCGUGCCUACGGGGCAACUUGUACAUUCUUCAUAUUUCCCGAGGACCCAGAAUAUUUUCAAAGGUGGGUCAAUGCCUGCAAACGAGAAGUUGUUUACGAAAGUGGCAAGAGAACGAAGUGGACGCCAUCAGAAUACCAGAAGCUUUGUAGUUGUCACUUUGAAAACGACCGGUGCCCGGACCCAAAAUCAAGAAAGUCGGGGAACAAAAACAAAAUUCCCACGAUAUUUUCACACAAGGAAAACCAAAGAGAAGACGUCCAAAUAGGAUCACAUGAUAAGCUACAGGAACCAUCACCAACUGCAUCUUCUUUUUCUGAAAGUACAGCUUCAGUUGACACGGUUUCAGAGACUACCAAUCAGCAUGAAUCUCUCCAAGAGUCAUUGAGAGCACCAGAGAGGAAUGGUCAUGAUUAUUUACAAACACCGUAUGACAGGACGAGUUUCCAGAAUUUUGAAGAUCUAAGUUUAAGUGACCCUGAUUUCACUAAAUUUUUCAAUUAUGUUCAAAAAGACUCUAAGAUUUACCAAGAAAUGUGUUCCAAAAAUCAGAUCUUCAAAAUGGAAGUCAUACAGCAAAAUAAACAAUUAUUUAAUUUUUACACUGGCUUGGAUCUUGAUGUUUUCAACUCAUUAUUUACCUAUCUACAACGAAAAGCUUCAUCUAUGCAGUGCUUCCAUGGUGAAAGAACAACAUAUGUCCAACCAUUUAAUCUGGAUGGCUUUGGUGUGAAGAGAAAGCCUUGUGUCACCAGGCAGCUUAAUCUACAAGAAGAAUUCUUCAGUGUUUUGUAUCGUUUACAGACAGGACAUUUACUGGGAAAAUGUAGUCUUCGCUUUGGUGUGAGCACCAGUCAGUUCUCCAGAAAUUUCACAACCUGGAUCAAUCUCUUAUCUAUUGAACUGGAACUUUUAUGUAAAAACGCAGAGCCAGAUGAAGAUGUUGGACUUGCAAGUUGAUUCAAACCAUUUCCAAACUUGAGAGUUAUUUUGGACUGUACAGAACUGUUCAGUGAAACACCUUCAAGUGUGGAUUACCAUAAACAGACUCACAGCAAUUAUAAACACCACUCUACAAUAAAAUUUCUAGUUGGGAUCCAUCCCUCAGGGGCUGUGACAUACAUCUCUAAAGCUUAUCCUGGAAAGUCGUCAGACAAACAGAUCACACAAGAAAGCCUGGACCUUAUUGACUCCCUUAUACCAGGACAAAAAGUUAUGGUGGACAGGGGCUUUACAAUUGAAGAGGAUCUCCCUUGUGGUGUCAAAUAAGUUAUUCCUUCUUUCAAUGGUGCAAGCAGAUAACAACUUACCGCAAAUGAGCUAUCAAAGUCAAAAGUCAUCUCCAGGGCACGAGUUCAUGUGGAACGAUGUAUGCGUAGGAUUAAGUCUUUCAACUAUUCUAAGACAAGAACUAAAACUAUCGCAAGUUGAUGUAUACGAGCAAAUAUUCAAAACCUGUGCCUAUCUUGUUAAUUUUCAAAAUCCGUAUUUAAAGCUGCUUGGUCCGAUUUUUUUUGUAAUUACAGUAUCAAAUUUUUUCCAUACAAACCAUUUAUCUUAGACAGCUAUGGACUUUCUCCUACACCAGCAGAAUCAGUCUCCUUUAAAAGUUAGAAAUAUUCAAAGUAAAUAAAAAUUAUUAUUUCUCUUUGGGCAAACGAAAAAACAAACCAAAAUGCAUCACGGGAAUGUUUAGAAAAGGAAACCGCUUGGUUUCGUCCCCCGAAUGAUUGGGGUUAUUCAACCCGCAUGAUAUGCAUCGAUUGUAAAGAAAGCAGACUUUGGAAAUAUUAGCAAACAAAACGUACACAUGUUUAUUUGUAAUUUGUCUGAUCAUUUCGACCUUUAUUUAAAGCGAUGACAAAGUCGUAAUACAACCAUACCCGUCUCGUCGUCAGGGGUGAAAUUUAACAUGAGGCGAAAUAACGCGGUACCUUUUAAUGUCGUUUGCUUUGUUAGCAAUUUUUGUACGUAUUUUUCUUCAUUGAAAUUUGGCAUAAUUGACGGGUAAAACUACUGCAAUGUCUAUUAUUAUACAUAUACUAAGCAUAGCCAUCGUUUAAAAGCGUGCAUAAAAUUUGAUAUAAAAUCGGACUAAGCAGCUUUAAAGUCUGAUGAUUAUGGUGUUUCUGAACUAAAAAAUAAUGCUGAUACAUAAUUGAGAUGCAUAUAUUUUAUGUUAUGCAAGUUCAACUGUCAUUGUCUGAUGUAGAGUAUACAAAAGUAUUGAGUUGGAAAAUAAUUCUGCUUAAUAUACACACCACCAAGUUCUAUUUGUGUGAUAAAUACUUGUACCCUGUAUCGUGUUUUACCGUAAUUUCAAUUUGAUAUUAAUUUAAUAAAAAUGAAUGGGUU
rnacentral:misc_RNA from 1 species